AUUGAACGCUGGCGGCAGGCCUAACACAUGCAAGUCGAACGGUAACAGGAAGCAGCUUGCUGCUUCGCUGACGAGUGGCGGACGGGUGAGUAAUGUCUGGGAAACUGCCUGAUGGAGGGGGAUAACUACUGGAAACGGUAGCUAAUACCGCAUAACGUCGCAAGACCAAAGAGGGGGACCUUAGGGACUCUCGCCAUCGGAUGUGCCCAGAUGGGAUUAGCUAGUAGGUGGGGUAACGGCUCACCUAGGCGACGAUCCCUAGCUGGUCUGAGAGGAUGACCAGCCACACUGGAACUGAGACACGGUCCAGACUCCUACGGGAGGCAGCAGUGGGGAAUAUUGCACAAUGGGCGCAAGCCUGAUGCAGCCAUGCCGCGUGUAUGAAGAAGGCCUUCGGGUUGUAAAGUACUUUCAGCGGGGAGGAAGGGAGUAAAGUUAAUACCUUUGCUCAUUGACGUUACCCGCAGAAGAAGCACCGGCUAACUCCGUG
rnacentral:rRNA from 1 species